AUUUUGUCUCAUGAUGAUCCCAUAGUUCAUCUGAUCACUCUGAUGUACAUAAUGCAUUGUCUUUCGCUCCUAUCUGAUUUAACUC
rnacentral:snoRNA from 1 species